rnacentral:rRNA from 1 species
GUGCCAGCAGCCGCGGUAAUACGUAGGGGGCGAGCGUUGUCCGGAAUGACUGGGCGUAAAGGGCGCGUAGACGGUUGUCUAAGUCUGGAGUGAAAGUCCUGCUUUCAAGGUGGGAAUUGCUUUGGAGACUGAAUGACUUGAGUGCGGAAGAGGUAAGUGGAAUUCCCAGUGUAGCGGUGAAAUGCGUAGAGAUUGGGAAGAACACCAGUGGCGAAGGCGACUUACUGGGCCGUAACUGACGUUGAUGCGCGAAAGCGUGGGGAGCGAACAGGAUUAGAUACCCUGGUAGUCCACGCGGUAAACGAUGAGUGCUAGGUGUAGCGGGUAUCGACCCCUGCUGUGCCGGAGUUAACACAAUAAGCACUCCGCCUGGGGAGUACGGCCGCAAGGUUGAAACUCAAAUGAAUUGACGG